rnacentral:rRNA from 1 species
AAACCAAAGCUGGCGACCGGCGCACGGGUGAGUAACACGUAUCCAACCUGCCUCAUACUCGGGGAUAGCCUUUCGAAAGAAAGAUUAAUAUCGAUAGCAUAUAUUUCCCGCAUGGGUUUUAUAUUAAAGAAAUUCGGUAUGAGAUGGGGAUGCGUUCCAUUAGUUUGUUGGGGGGGUAACGGCCCACCAAGACUACGAUGGAUAGGGGUUCUGAGAGGAAGGUCCCCCACAUUGGAACUGAGACACGGUCCAA